GAUGAACGCUGGCGGCGUGCCUAAUACAUGCAAGUCGAGCGAACAGACGAGGAGCUUGCUCCUCUGACGUUAGCGGCGGACGGGUGAGUAACACGUGGAUAACCUACCUAUAAGACUGGGAUAACUUCGGGAAACCGGAGCUAAUACCGGAUAAUAUAUUGAACCGCAUGGUUCAAUAGUGAAAGACGGUUUUGCUGUCACUUGUAGAUGGAUCCGCGCCGCAUUAGCUAGUUGGUAAGGUAACGGCUUACCAAGGCAAUGAUGCGUAGCCGACCUGAGAGGGUGACCGGCAACAUGGGGACGGAGGGAGGGCCAAGACUCCUACGGGAGGCAGCAGUGGGGAAUAUUGAACAAUGGGCGGAAGCCUGAUGCAGCAACGCCGCGUGCGGGAUGACGGCCUUCGGGUUGUAAACCGCUUUCGCCUGUGACGAAGCGUGAGUGACGGUAAUGGGUAAAGAAGCACCGGCUAACUACGUG
rnacentral:rRNA from 1 species